rnacentral:rRNA from 1 species
AUUGAACGCUGGCGGCAGGCCUAACACAUGCAAGUCGAACGAGUGGCGGACGGGUGAGUAAUGUCUGGGAAACUGCCCGAUGGAGGGGGAUAACUACUGGAAACGGUAGCUAAUACCGCAUACCAUCGGAUGUGCCCAGAUGGGAGUGGCUAGUAGGUGGGGUAACGGCUCACCGAGGCGACGAUCCCUAGCUGGUCUGAGAGGAUGACGGGCCACACUGGAACUGAGAAACGGUCCAGACCCUUACGGGAGGCAGCAGGGGGGAAUAUUGGAAAAUGGGCGCAAGCCUGAUGCAGCCAUGCCGCGUGUAUGAAGAAGGCCUUCGGUUUGUAAAGUACUUUCAGCGAGGAGGCGUUACUCGCAGAAGAAGCCACGGCUAACUCCGUGCCAGCAGCCGCGGUAAUAC